rnacentral:piRNA from 1 species
CCUUGGGUUCCCCCANUGCUCCUCACCAA